UUUCUUACUAGUUUGCUUUUAUUUCUUGGUACAGAUAUUCUGAGCACCCCAAAGAAGCAUAACUCUCAACCAGUGGUUAAAACUCUUAGACCUCCCCCCACCCAUCCUGAAAGCUGUUCCACCAAGGUAAACCCCAUUGAAAUCAGUGAGGCUCUAGACACAUAGUGCAACUUGCAGGAUUGUAGCCAUGUUUCAUUUCCAGAUUAGUAAAGGAGAAAGACCUCUACAACUGAAAAGAAAUUUGAAUGGCUCCUUUGUGAACUACUUAAAGGGAUGUAUUCUGGUAUCUGGUUGCCUCAGACACACACCAAUGGGAUUCGAGUUUCCUCUUAAAUAAGAUCAAAUGCAUUAGUGCAUAUCUCAAGGCAUUGGCCACUGUGAUUUUAUUAAUUUUCUUACAUUUUAAUCCAAAAGAAAUUCAACACCAAAAGGGCCCAAUCCAAUGCUCCAGGAGCCCUGGAGCUACACUGAGAAACACAAUAUAGGAACCGCAAAAUAUCAGUCACCCAGAGCAGCAGCACCUUUUCCUUCCACCCAACUCUACAUCAUUUAAUCACUAGACAUAUGACCUAUACAGCUUGAAAUUCCAUUUCACUUUCUCACAAGUGAAGAGUUCCUUUGAAGAUUUGACCCCACUAAGAUCUGAUCAGGAGGCUGCCUGCUAACAUCAAAGGAAGUGGUGGAAAUCCAAGUGGGAUAGCUGAAACAAAGUACCGGGGAAGAGUUAAAGCUUAAACUCUGAAACGGAGAAGGAGAGUUUUCAGUGAAACAGACUGUAACCUGUCCCCAGAAGAGUGGAGGUAGCAGGUAUAAAUUGGGCUGACCUGUCUUGAGGUCAAUGCUAAACUUAGGUAAAACAACAUGUAUUUUGUUAUGUUAAACCCUUUGCUUUCUGAUUGCU